GGUGACUCAGUGGUAGAGUGCUUGCCUUGCAAGCAUGAGGCCCUGAGUUCCAUUCCUCAGCACCA
rnacentral:tRNA from 1 species